UUUGACACCCCUGCCCUAAAGUCACCAAAUUCCUUCUGAUCUUGGAAGCUAAGCAGGAUCAGUCCUGGUUAGUUCUUGGAUGGAAAAUUGCCAAUGAAUACCAGGUGAUGUAAGCC
rnacentral:rRNA from 1 species